GAACGGGUGAGUAACACGUGGGUUACCUGCCCCGAUGAUUGGGACAACCCGAGGAAACUCGGGCUAAUACCAAAUGUGCCCCCGGCGUGAUGGCCGGGAGGAAAGGAAGCUUCGGCCUCCGCAUCGGGAUGGGCCCGCGGCCCAUUAGCUAGUUGGUGGGGUAAUGGCCUACCAAGGCGACGAUGGGUAGCUGGUCUGAGAGGACGAUCAGCACACUGGGACUGAGACACGGCCAGACUCCUACGGGAGGCAGCAGUAGGGAAUCUUGCGCAAUGCGCGAAAGCGUGACGCAGCAACGCCGCGUGGGGGAAGACGGCCUUCGGGUUGUAAACCCCUUUCAGUUGGGACGAAGCUCCGUGGGUUAAUAGCCCACUGGAGUGACGGUACCUUCACAAGAAGCACCGGCUAACUACGUGCCAGCAGCCGCGGUAAUACGUAGGGUGCAAGCGUUGUCCGGAAUUAUUGGGCGUAAAGAGCGUGUAGGCGGUCCGAUCAGUCCGCUGUGAAAGUCCAGGGCUCAACCCUGGGAUGCCGGUGGAUACUGUCGGACUAGAGUCCGGAAGAGGCGAGUGGAAUUCCUGGUGUAGCGGGUGAAAUUGCGCAGAUUUCAGGAGGAACACCA
rnacentral:rRNA from 1 species